rnacentral:lncRNA from 1 species
AUGUACACAAAUCUAAAACGUAAGCCGAUAGGAGAAGUAAAGUACUACAUCAUAAUUUGGCGUAAUACAUCCAUUAGUGGAAUGGUUAUUAGACUCUUCUUUCCUUUUGUAAGGAAACUGGACAGUAAUGUUAACUCUGGUAAUAUUACUUAUAGAAUAUCACUAAUUACUAUUUUACUCUGUUGUGUUUUCUCACUCAUUUCUCUCUUUACUUUUGCAGAUAAGGAAGGUACAGAUUCUGACUCUGGAUGUAGUGAAGAAGGCAGCCGUUCCAUAGGGAAGAAUCCCCUACAUUUUGGUAUGUAUUGAGUGUUAUGUACACAAAUCUAAAACGUGAGCCAGAAGGAGAAGUAUAGUCCUACAUCAUAAUUUGUCGUAAUACAUCCAUUAGUGGUUAUUAGACUCUUCUUUCCUUUUGUAAGGAAACUGGACAAUAAUAGCACGCUGUCCAACUAUUGGUUUGAAGAGGAUUAAAGCAGCAUAACGGAACAAUUGCUAAUCGCUAACGAGAUGCUAGCGCCUAAAACUAGCGAAACCUCUUGAAAUGUGCUUACUUUGACACUAUGACAAACUGGUUAGUCAACAACUGUCCUAACACAGUCAAACAUGAAGCAAGUGCAACACAAGACAAAGCAAGACGGCAAAUAAGCUACUUAGUUCGGCAGACAGUAGAAACCGGGCGGCUUCAGCCACAUAACCCAGUAAUAUGCCUAAGGACCCUGGUAUGGCAACGGCACGGAAGCGAUUCUCCAUACUAAAAGUCAUUGUAGCGCCCCAAUUUUUUUAAGCUGUUAUUUUAAGGUAAAACUGCUUAUCCUAACCCUAACCCUGAAGUACAAUUACUGCAUAAUGCCACAUUAAAGCUGUAUGAAUAUCUGCAGAUGUUAUUUUUUUUCAUCUGUAAAUUAUGGUGUUUUAAGGCUGGGCACACACAAGGCUGGGCACACACAAGGCAGGGCGUGAGGAGUCUGAAACGAGAGGAGAGAUGAGUAAACAACAGAACUGAAGAAUAAAUGAUAAAAUUAGGAAAACUUAUCUAGUAAG